CCUGAGCUGAAAUCAAGAAGCCAACUCUCAACGGACUCAGCCACCCAGGCACCCCCCUCGUAUCUUCCUUUAAGGGAGGAGAAAAAGAAUAAGAAAUUCCCAACAGAAUGGGAAAUAUUCUUUGGUGUACCUGAAAGAGACCUCCCUCCAUCUGGCCCCUUGGUCAGCAGCUGUACUUUUCAACGAGCCAAUGAGUUUGAUGUCCCUGCUCCCAUCCAUCAUCUUUAUUCAGCUGGGGUUCACAAAUGGUGCAAUGUGUAUGAAACAGAAUUCGUCCCACACCCCAUGAGUUCUCUGCCCUCUGUGCUGGCCCACAUGCCUAUUCGGUGAUCUCCUUCUCUUUCUCACACCAUGUAAAUACAGUCUGGCUCACGUCCUUUUCCUUUUGUACUGAUAUUCUCCAUGCAUGUUAAUGUUUGUGACUUGAAAGUCAGGUUAACUUCCUACCUAAGGUAGGAAGGAUCAGCAGGAAGCUUAAAGGACGAAACUUCAUGCUCUGUUGGUGGAGGUUUUUGUUUCUGGAUUUGCCACCUGUGAGAAAUCGGAACUGGUGCUCCAGAGCCCUCCACUUGGAGUCAUUGGUUUGGGGCACUUGACAAUCAUAUGUGCUGUUGUGAUGGAAAUCCAGCUACCAAAAUAGUUGUCCAAAGACCUUCCCUGAAGAAGGUUCCAUCUAAUGAGAUCUUAACAAGCAUGAGGAAUGUAUUCAGCCAUUCGAUCAAAUAUUUCUCUGUGUCCUUUUUAAAGAUACAGUUGUUAGAUAGUCAGGCUUAACAAUUAAUAUCCUGUUAAAUUAAAACUGCCACAAACCAGAACAUAAAUCUUAUCUUAAAAGGGCUUAUGUAUGCAUAAGAGAAAUGAGAAAGAGAUUUGUAAUAGGGUAGAAUGACGUAUUUAAUAUGCAGCCCAAAAGCUUAGUUCGCUGACAAAAAGUCAGAUGCCUGAAACUUUUUAUCCAAAUUUGGCUUGGUUCACAGGAGACACAGAAAACCCAGAUAACUUAUCUUUAGACUCCCUGCUGUUUGGAGAAGAACAAAGUCAAUAGCAAAUGCCUCAGUGGUGAACGUGUGAUGAAAAUUGAGUUACGUGUCUACAUAAUGGCAGGUGUCUACACCUGCAAUCGAUCUGCGACACCACAUCAAAGUCAGAAACAAUAAACCUGCAAAGUCAAAUACGGCUUAGUCUUCAAAGUAUUUGUCUAAAGAUGAGGACAGAAGUUGACGCUCCGCGGUUGAGAGAAAACCAUUGACCUGGGGAGGCAUAUCCUUCCUUCGUUUGCCAAAGUGAUGCUGUGCUCAGCCGUCUUUGUCUUUGUCCUAUAAACACAAAUACAAAUCCUUCAAGUCGGAGCUUAGAGGGGGGUGAAGAGUAUGAACUUUCCAUCAUGAGGAUGAGCGAUAAUCUUGGACCCCCCUUGACCAAGGCAGACGCUGGGGAAGUUCCUCCAUUUGAACAGCACCCUUCGGAAAUGACUGGAACUCCUGGACAUUCAUAGGGACUGGCUAUCCCGCCAAAAUAAUACUGAAGAUUACUUCCCGGGUUUUUAAAAUAUGUAUAUCUAUGUCUCAAUAGAUGGGGGGGG